CGCGUCGUAGCUCAAUUGGUAGAGUAACUGGUCGUCGUCCCCUUGCCCGUGACCGCGGGCCGCUUGGUGACCAUCAUCGACUCUUGAUCGAAGGAUGCCGGUUCGAGUCCGGCCGACGCGC
rnacentral:tRNA from 1 species